rnacentral:rRNA from 1 species
GAUGAACGCUGGCGGCAUGCCUAAUAUAUGCAAGUCGAACGAGAGGAAGGAAAGCUUGCUUUUCUGAAUCUAGUGGCGAACGGGUUAGUAACACGUAGGUAACCUGCCCAUGUGCCCGGGAUAACUUCUGGAAACGGAUGCUAAAACCGGAUAGGUAGCAGACAAGCAUUUGACUGCUAUUAAAGUGGCUAAGGCCAUGAACAUGGAUGGACCUGCGGUGCAUUAGCUAGUUGGUGAGGUAACGGCCCACCAAGGCGACGAUGCAUAGCCGGCCUGAGAGGGCGGACGGCCACAUUGGGACUGAGACACGGCCCAAACUCCUACGGGAGGCAGCAGUAGGGAAUUUUCGUCAAUGGGGGGAACCUUGAACGAGCAAUGCCGCGUGAGUGAGGAAGGUCUUCGGAUCGUAAAGCUCUGUUGUAAGAGAAAAACGACAUUCAUAGGGAAUGAUGAGUGAGUGAUGGUAUCUUACCAGAAAGUCACGGCUAACUACGUGCCAGCCGCCGCGGUAA